rnacentral:lncRNA from 1 species
CCCCUUCCUCAUCUAAUUCACAUCACCCCAAAAAGAAUAACACUCACAAUUCAAUUUCUUCAGCUGCUAGAAUUUCUGCAGUACUCUUCCCAAUCCCAGAUUUUCGAAUCCAAUUCAUACGGAUACAGAUAGCAUAAACCUCAUCAAGGUUUGCUUUCUUUCCUACCCAGCUUUCUGCAUCAAUUAUAUUGAUGUCUCCUCGAACUAACCAAUAUUCAAUGAUUUCAAUUUCAACAAAACACAUACGUUUUCUUUACUUUGGAUCUCAUCACCUGCAAGAAUACCUAAUGACCAUAUCGAAACAGGGUAUAUAUAUAUGGGUACACAGAACAACUUGCAUAAAAUGUUGAAAAGAAGCUAUCUUUUUCAUGUAUAUGUGGGUGUGUGCUGCUGUGUGCGUGAGUUUUUCGAAGCUGCUGUCGCUGUUGUUGUGAGUCGGGAUGUGUGAGUUGGUGGAGGAGGCAGUCGAAGGAGGCGACCCUCGUUGCAGUCGAUCGGCGAGGAGAGGGCUGAGGUUGUGAGGUUGCUGAGCCGUGAACACAGGGAUCGGCGGUGGCGGUGGCCUAUUAGCUGCUGCUGCGUGCCGGUUGGACGGAGAGAAGGGUUAGGCGAGAGGCGAAGGAGGCGGAGGUUCCGGCUGUAAUGUCGCCGGAAAUCGUAGGGGGAAGCAGCUAGGGUUUCUGAUUUGGGGAUUUAGGAUUUCUGCAUUUGGGGGUUCGGUGAAUUGAGGGAGGAGAGAGAAAGAUAGAGAGAGACGGGGCGGCGGUGGUAAACGCCGGCGACGCGCCGCCGGAUUCGUGGGAGGCGGCGGUGGCGUAAGAGGGAAGAAGAGAGGAACCUAAGGAGAGAGAGAGAUGGGGAGUUCUUGUGUUGUGUCUGUGUGUGCGCGUUGAAAAAGAAGAAAAGAAAAAAUGAGGGAGAGAUUGAUGAGUUGAGUUGGGCUCAAGCAUUGGGCCUUUAAUUUAAUGAAGUGGGCUGCACUUUUAUAACUUGGGCUAUGAAUUAUAUUUUGGGCUGUAUUUUUAUAUGAAGAGAGCCUCUUAUUAAAUUACUAAUUGGGCAAUGAAUUUACUUAUUUGUGAAUUGAGUUGUUAGACUCUUAAUUGAGUUUAACUAAGUAUUUAAACAUGAUUGCAUAUGCAUAUGUAUUGGAUGUAAUUACCGAAAUAUGUGUUUUAAUGCAUAAAAAGAAUUUGCAUUAUACAUUUUGCAUAAAAGCAUUUAUGAGUAAAUUGAG